UUCGCUCGGGCCGAGUCCGACAUGGCGGCCCCGCCACCGCCCCCCGGCGGCCGUUACCGCCGCCCGCGCGGCGCGAGGGCAGGGCGGGAAAGCCGCUGAGGGCUGAGGGGCAGCGGCGUGACCGGGGCGGGCAAGCUGCUCGGUAAAUAAAGGCACCGGGGACGGGAGGGCGACACGGCAGGAAAAAACAUCCCCUAAAGCACCUGUCUUCAGAAGCAGCAACCGGCGGGUUUCAGGCGAGAGGCUGGGAGCCCUUCCUGCCCUCCGUGAAGAAAGCGAGCAGCCCCGGGGGCAGAGUACAAAAAUAACACCCAGGGAAAACAGUCUUUCUGCAAGUAUCUGUGGACUUACACAGCAGUUUCAAGCAUAGCCGCACUGAGGAAUGCAAGAGCACCUUCCACACCGCUUUGAGGAAAAAGGAAGAGACAGGUAAAACGACAAUUCACCAGUUCACACAAGGAGGAGGAGUACAGAAGAUGGUAGGAAAACAGGUACAGCAUCAUGAUCAGUUCCACAGAAUGCAAUGAUUUUACCUUGGCACUGGAGGAAGGGCACGAGGCGGGCACUGAAAGACAAGAGUGACAAAAGUCAACUUCUGUCAGUAUGAAACCACCUCUCAGAAAACAGCUUCAGAUCAGAACAUCCAAGGGAGCAAAACAACUACAAAUCUGAGGGAAAGAGAGUGAGGAACUUAACUUGCCACAAGCAUUUUACCCUUUGAUGAGGAGAGAAUGCUACCACAGACCAAAGCAACAAGAGAAAGGGUUUCUGACGAUUUUCCUCUUUGGGUGUUCUGAGACUGCUAACAGAAGGACAGAAUUCUCAACUAAUAGGGCUUGGAGGAGGAAGAAAUCCCAUGCUACAGCUCUCCAUGUGAAAGACUAAUCCUUAUUUUAACCAUGCCCACAAUCAGGAAUCCAGAAGCAGCUUUCCUCUGUACCACAUCAACUCCUACAGGCAUUGGGGAUUCAGGCCUCCACAUUACCGAAGGUAAUCCAAUUAUCUGCUGACAUCAGUGCAGCCCCUGCUGUCACAGCUUGCACAGGUAUAACUGAUAAGGAUUGGAUAAAUAGAUCUGCUACUGAUGCACGAGAAGAAACAUUCACACUUGUGGGAUAAGAGGACAGAAACCUUACUAUUAAGGUAAUCAGAGAACAAGAGGAAGACUUAAAGCAACAAGAUUUUACAUAAUGGCUCUUCAAGCCAGAAUGGCUUCUGAAGCUAAAGUGGCAUUUUGGUUUUUGCCACCUGCUUGUUUGCAAGACACUCGCUUGUCUCUGGACACCCUUCUCGCAGCAGAACAAUAGCAAGGAAUUUAGAAUUAGGUCAGAGGAACUUACCUGACUCAAAUGUUUCUUCAUCUUGUUUAGUAAUCCAGACAGCAAAGAUAUUAAAAUAAAUUCAAAAUUUAAUUCUUUUCCUUCUAAUGGAUUUCAGAAUCAGAAAUCAGUUUUCCAGCUUCUGUCGGUCUCAUAUAUACUCACAUAUACUUCCCCCAGCUCCCUCUACCCUGAGGUGGCAAAAUACAGCUCACCGUACUUGAAUUAACUGCUUCAUCUCUUUUAACACAGCCCUACAAGAUCCCAUCCCUCCAUGAGAGCUUCUGAAUUACCUUGAAGAAGGAAGAAUGAACUGCACUGCUUUAGGGAGCAACUCAAGCUACCAAUCUUCACACUUAGUGUUCACAAGUAAAAACCUAUUCUUGCUCCUUGUUGUCCCAAGAUCAGUAUCUUGACAAUGAAUUGUGUGGGCUCUCCAUGACCACAAAAAUAUGUGGCAUUAAACAUACAGUAGGCAAAAAACUAUGGUAACAUUACAGCCACUAUCCGACACCUGAAUCAAAGAGGUUGGAUCUCAUUCAAGCAGAUAUUUUUGUGCUGGUCAAAACACUUGACUAUAAGCACUGUACGCCAGAACUGCAAACAGCUCAUUUUAAUACACUAAUACUAGAUGAGGUUUCCAGGGUAUGAAAAACAGAAUUUUCUACCAUUAAGUUCACUAGGAGGAUGGGUGGUUUUAUCUAGCAAAUGAGGCUUUUAACUAGCUACUGCCUUGAGGCAAAUAAAAUAAUCACAAGUGAAUUCAGUUACCUGUUUCCACACACUUUUCGUCAAUCUGCAUGUCGUCCUCUACAGAUUAACACAAGGGAAAAAAAUUCAUCUGAAUCAGAAAAACACUGAGGAGGAAAAACAGCCUUACAGAUCUUACAAGACUGAACUCAGACAUCAGAAAUAAGAUAUGUGAAACUCAGAUUGCCUUUAGACAUCUUAAAGGAUUUUAACUGUUAACUCCAAUUUACUGAUGUUCCUUGUCUACAGUGAGCAAAAAUCUCUUCUUAAGUGAGUGCUCUGAAGGGCUUGUGGCAGAGAGGCAAAUGCAUCUAACGAAUUCUCCUCUUGAAAUAAUGAAAGGUUUAACAUGGCUGUCAAUCUGUUUAUCCAGUAGAUAUCUAUUUAUUAAGUAUUACCAUGAGGGAAUAGAAUUUUCUGUCCUAUAGCUUUUAAAUAUCUUUCCAACAUGCUAUACUCAAGGAAAGUGUUUUGCUUGGUUGAUUGUAUUAUUAUUUUUACAAGGAAGAAAAGGAAAAGAUCAAUUCAGCUCUCUCUCAAUCCUGAGACCACAUCAAUUUUUGUCCCUGAAAUGCGAUCACAUGAGCUUGGGCAAUCUCAUAGACUCACAAUACUGCACUGUUUGUGUUUUGUUCUUGCACGCCCUUCCAGAGAGGCCCAAUAGCAGCUAUUUUCCAGUUACAGGGCAAUUUUCAGAGUAUCUGUCAAUCACAUUCUGCCCAUAUGUAUCCUUUAAAGAAAUACUCUCUUGGAGCUGCUCCAGGAGAGAAAGAGGGAGAAGAAAAGAGAAAGAGGAAACGUUGUCUUUCUUUCCUCAAAGAACCCAUCCAAACGGUCACUUCCCUGACAGAUAAUGCGCAGCUAAAGUUUUUGCUUUAAGACAAUGCAUGCAUCUACUACUUUACUACUUCAGGUGAAAAAAGGCUGGAUUUCAAUUAUGUUAAGCACACAAAAUGCCAAGAACUUGGGCUUCUUCUGCAUGUAUUUAUCAAAAUGCCUCAUUUCCGAAAACUUUUUAAAAAGUCUGUAAAACCAUGUGUUAAUAUAUUGGUUCCGGGUACAGAAAUGCAAUGCUGUCCAGAUGUGAUUUCCUACCUUCGUCCACAGUGCUUACUGCUCACAGCAUAUCCAUUGAAGCAGUUAAAAUGCAAUAAAAUUAUGGUGAAAGAGAGCCUCAGCUCUAGCAAACAAAGCAAUCAGUGCGAGAAGAAUCCUAGGGAAUGAAACACAUUCCCUCUGGGAUUUAUCAUAAGAGAAAAAUUUUAUACUUGCAUAAAGAACCAUAGAAGAAAACAGGGAGAGAGGAAACAGGAAGAACAUUCUUUUUCUGGGAAUAAUUGCAUAUUUAGAAAGUUAUAGUUGGCAGAGGAUAACAUUUCUGGAUUGUUACCAUGAAUAAAUUAAAGGACAGCAUAGCUUAUCUUAGGCCUCAAGAAAAGAAGUUCUAUCUUUCUCUCAAUAGCUUUGGUGGCAAAGAAACAUUCUAAACACUGUAUGGCACUUUUUCAGUGCAGAGCUGGUAUCUGUGUCCCUGGAAAGCCAGGCCAGUACAAUUGUCACUUCAAGACUUAGAGCCAAUUCUCCUGGAGAGAACUGGCUGACCUAGUGAGCUCCUAGAUUGUAGAGACUUUAGAAGAGGUUGAAUUCACAGCUUCUCUUAUGGUCAGAUCCCAAGUAUGCUGGAGACAACCGUCUCCACCAUCAGUACUCCAGGUACAAUUAUCAUCAAGUAUUUGUUUUUCUAGGGAUAGUUAACACACUUCUAAGGCUACAAUAUGGCUCCAGACACAAUGUCUUUGAAUUAAGCUGAAUUGUAUAAGCUUCUAUUUCAGUAUGCCUGAAACAGAGACAAGAUCUUUCUUUCCUACUGUAUUACUCAAGUAAUUUUUCACUCACACAUUGAUGAUUUGAGACAGAGAUGGGGCUGGAAGGGCUGAGACCACCAGAAUUCUCGCUGCUUCCUACAUAGAAAUAAAUUUAUCACAGUUAAAGAAACAAAACAGUCCACAAGCACAUUAUGCUCCAGUCAGAUUCACUGUUUACAUGUAAGAUCAAUCAGUACUGAACUGAGAGAAGACAGCAAGAACUGAAACAUUACCAAUGUUUUAGCCCACUGCAAAGUCCUGAAAGAAAACCAACAUGCUAUCAGAACUAUUUUGAAUUUCCAAAUCAUCAGCCCAGAAGUAUUAAGAGUUUAUGUAAAAGUACAGGAAGAUAAGCCAUAGCAUGGUACAGACUCCCGGAAGUAGAAGAGUGUGCUACUGCUAGGGGUAGUAGUACUACUGCCUCCAUUACUACACAGAGCCUCUUGCUUGCAGCCUGAGUCACAAUCCAGUUUGAUUUCAACCUGCAUUAUACAGACCACAGGUAGGUUUAUACAUAUAUUGCAAAGUGAAGUUUAUCAUCUGCUAUUGCAUGGCCUUUUGUUAUCCUGAGGGUACCACAGGACAUGUGGUUAAAGGAUCAAAUUGAAAAGUUUGCUGCUACAGCAGUGUAAGAACUCUGAUUCUGAAAGCAUGUAAUGUAAAAAUAAUGGUCUAUUAAUGCAGAAAAUAAUAAGCAAGAGAUCCUUGUUC